AUUGAACGCUGGCGGCAGGCCUAACACAUGCAAGUCGAGCGGAUGAAGGGAGCUUGCUCCUGGAUUCAGCGGCGGACGGGUGAGUAAUGCCUAGGAAUCUGCCUGGUAGUGGGGGAUAACGUCCGGAAACGGGCGCUAAUACCGCAUACGUCCUGAGGGAGAAAGUGGGGGAUCUUCGGACCUCACGCUAUCAGAUGAGCCUAGGUCGGAUUAGCUAGUUGGUGGGGUAAAGGCCUACCAAGGCGACGAUCCGUAACUGGUCUGAGAGGAUGAUCAGUCACACUGGAACUGAGACACGGUCCAGACUCCUACGGGAGGCAGCAGUGGGGAAAUUUGGACAAUGGGCGAAAGCCUGAUCCAGCCAUGCCGCGUGUGUGAAGAAGGUCUUCGGAUUGUAAAGCACUUUAAGUUGGGAGGAAGGGCAGUAAGUUAAUACCUUGCUGUUUUGACGGUACCAACAGAAUAAGCACCGGCUAACUUCGUG
rnacentral:rRNA from 1 species